rnacentral:rRNA from 1 species
GACGAACGCUGGCGGCGUGCUUAACACAUGCAAGUCGAGCGAGAAAGCUCCUUCGGGAGUGAGUACAGCGGCGAACGGGUGAGUAACACGUGGGCAACCUGCCCUAGGGAGCGGGACAACCCGAGGAAACUCGGGCUAAUACCGCAUGAUUCGUCAUGUCUCAAGGCAUGACGGGAAAUGGUAGCUUCGGCCUCCGCCCUAGGAUGGGCCCGCGGCGCAUUAGCUUGNGGUGUGGGUAACGGCUCACCAAGGCGACGAUGCGUAGCUGGUCUGAGAGGACGAUCAGCCACACUGGGACUGAGACACGGCCCAGACUCCUACGGGAGGCAGCAGUGGGGAAUCUUGCGCAAUGGGCGGAAGCCUGACGCAGCAACGCCGCGUGAGGGAAGACGGCCU